GAGUUUGAUCAUGGCUCAGAGCGAACGCUGGCGGCAGGCUUAACACAUGCAAGUCGAGCGGGCGUAGCAAUACGUCAGCGGCAGACGGGUGAGUAACACGUGGGAACGUACCUUUUGGUUCGGAACAACUGAGGGGAAACUUCAGCUAAUACCGGAUAAGCCCUAACGGGGAAAGAUUUAUCGCCGAAAGAUCGGCCCGCGUCUGAUUAGCUAGUUGGUGAGGUAAUGGCUCACCAAGGCGACGAUCAGUAGCUGGUCUGAGAGGAUGAUCAGCCACACUGGGACUGAGACACGGCCCAGACUCCUACGGGAGGCAGCAGUGGGGAAUAUUGGACAAUGGGGGCAACCCUGAUCCAGCCAUGCCGCGUGAGUGAUGAAGGCCCUAGGGUUGUAAAGCUCUUUGUGCGGGAAGAUAAUGACGGUACCGCAAGAAUAAGCCCCGACUAACUUCGUGCCAGCAGCAGCCGCCGUAAC
rnacentral:rRNA from 1 species